UCAAGCUACUAAGGGCAUACGGCGGAUGCCUAGGCGCCAUCAGCCGAUGAAGGACGCGGUAAGCUGCGAAAAGCUACGGGGAACUGCAAGCAAGUAUUGAUCCGUAGAUGUCCGAAUGGGGAAACCCACCUGCCGUCAUGGGCAGGUAUCCGAAAGGAAGGGAACCCGGGGAACUGAAACAUCUAAGUACCCGGAGGAAGAGAAAUCAAACGAGAUGCCCACAGUAGCGGCGAGCGAAGAGGGCAGAGGGCAAACCGGGGAGCUACGGCUCUUCGGGGUUGAGGACUGCAUUUAGUCUUAAUGGUUUAUCCGAACUACCUGGAAAGGUAGGCAACACAGUGUAAAAGCCACGUAGGUUAAAGACCAAAGAGAUGAGCAGUAUCCAGAGUACCACGAGGCACGAGGAAUCUUGUGGGAAGCCGGGGGGACCACCCUCCAACCCUAAACACUGAAUGGCGACCGAUAGCGCAUAGUACCGUGAGGGAAAGGUGAAAAGAACCCCGGGAGGGGAGUGAAAGAGAACCUGAAACCGUAUGUCUACAAGCAGUCGGAGCGAAAGCGACGGCGUGCCUAUUGAAGAAUGAACCAACGAGUUACGUGCACUAGCGAGGUUAAGUGGAAGACACGGAGCCGAAGCGAAAGCGAGUCUUAAGAGGGCGGAUAGUUAGUGUACGUAGACCCGAAACCGCAGUGAUCUACCCAUGUCCAGGUUGAAGCGCAGGUAAAAUUGCGUGGAGGACCGAACCUGUGAGCGUUGAAAAGCUUUAGGAUGAGAUGUGGGUAGAGGUGAAAUUCCAAUCGAACGCGGAGAUAGCUGGUUCUCCCCGAAAUAGCUUUAGGGCUAGCCUCAAGUAGUAAGUAUAGGCGGUAGAGCACUGAUCGGGCUAGGGGCCAUAAAGGUUACCGAACCCUGUCAAACUCCGAAUGGUUAUACUGUAGAGCUUGGGAGUCAGACUACGAGUGAUAAGAUCCGUGGUCAAAAGGGAAACAGCCCAGACCACCAGCUAAGGUCCCCAAUGUCGUACUAAGUGGAAAAGGAUGUGGGGUCUCUAAAACAACCAGGAUGUUGGCUUAGAAGCAGCCACCAUUUAAAGAGUGCGUAAUAGCUCACUGGUCGAGAGACCCUGCGCCGAAGAUUACCGGGGCUAAAGUACGAAACCGAAGCUGUGGCUACGACGUAAGUCGUGGGGUAGGGGAGCGUUCUGUGAGGGCUGAAGUCGUUCUGUAAGGAACGGUGGACUUCACAGAAGUGAGAAUGUUGGUAUGAGUAGCGAAAAGAAUGGUGAGAAUCCAUUCCACCGAAAGCAUAAGGAUUCCUGGGCAACGAUCGUCGUCCCAGGGUAAGUCGGGACCUAAUCCGAGGCAUGGAGCGUAGGAGAUGGACAACUGGCAGAUAUUCCAGUACCGGUAAUGAUUGUUUGAGCGAUGGAGUGACACAGGAGGGCAGGCAGGCAGGAGAUUGGUUGUUCCUGUACAAGCGUGUAGGGUGGAACGUAGGCAAAUCCGCGUUCUGUGAGCCUGAGGCGUGAUGUGGAGGUUCCGGAAACGGAACCGAAGCUGCUGACCCCACACUGUCGAGAAAAGCUUCUAGUUAGAGAAUUACCGCCCGUACCGUAAACCGACACAGGUAUGCGGGGAGAGAAUCCUAAGGUGCGCGGGAGAACCCUCGUUAAGGAACUCGGCAAAAUGUACCCGUAACUUCGGGAUAAGGGUAGCCGCUGUUGUGAAGUCUGAACAGACGGAGCAUGAGGCGGUCGCAGAGAAGAGGCCCAAGCGACUGUUUACCACAAACACAGGUGCCUGCUAAAGAGAAAUCUGACGUAUAGGUGCUGACACCUGCCCAGUGCCGGAAGGUUAAGGAAGGAUGUCCGGAGCAAUCCAAAGCAUUCGACCGAAGCCCCGGUGAACGGCGGCCGUAACUAUAACGGUCCUAAGGUAGCGAAAUUCCUUGUCGGGUAAG
rnacentral:rRNA from 1 species